UACGAAGGGGCUAGCGUUGCUCGGAAUCACUGGGCGUAAAGCGCACGUAGGCGGAUUGCUAAGUCAGGGUGAAAUCCUGGAGCUCAACUCCAGAACUGCCUUUGAUACUGGCGAUCUUGAGUCCGGGAGAGGUGAGUGGAACUGCGAGUGUAGAGGUGAAAUUCGUAGAUAUUCGCAAGAACACCAGUGGCGAAGGCGGCUCACUGGCCCGGUACUGACGCUGAGGUGCGAAAGCGUGGGGAGCAAACAGG
rnacentral:rRNA from 1 species